AGCAGCCGCGGUAAUUCCAGCUCCAAUAGCGUAUAUUAAAGUUGUUGCAGUUAAAAAGCUCGUAGUUGAAUUUUAGGCCUGGCCAGGCGGUCCGUCUUUGGCGAGUACUGUCUUGUUGUCGGGUCUUCCUUCUGGUGAACCAGUAUGCCCUUUAUUGGGUGUGUUGGGGAGCCAGGACCAUUACCUUGAAAAAAUUAGAGUGUUUAAAGCGGGCUAUUGCUUGAAUAGAUUAGCAUGGAAUAAUAGAAUAGGACGUUGUGGUUCUAUUUUGUUGGUUUCUAGGACCACCGUAAUGAUUAAUAGGGAUAGUUGGGGGCAUUAGUAUUCAAUUGUCAGAGGUGAAAUUCUUGGAUUUAUUGAAGACUAACUAUUGCGAAAGCAUUUGCCAAGGAUGUUUUCAUUAAUCAAGAACGAAAGUUAGGGGAUCGAAGACGAUCAGAUACCGUCGUAGUCUUAACCAUAAACUAUGCCGACUAGGAAUCGGGCGACGUUAUUUUAAUGACUCG
rnacentral:rRNA from 1 species